CUGCUCCCAGGCCUGUGCUCUGCUCAGGGAGCUGGGCCCAUGGCUGCAGAGCUGCCCCACGGCUCUGUUGCAGCUCUGGCUGCACAGGAGGAGCUUCACCCCUUGGACCCCCCUGCCCUGAGGGCAGAGGCUUGGCUGGGUGGGAGAGGAGGGGAGGGGGCUUGUUCAGAGGGACGGGUUUACACUAGAGGGGAUCAUAUGGAGAUCUCUAAACAUUCGAUGACACAUGGUUUUUGUUUUGUCUCAGGCCCUAAUCUUAUGCCUACUUCCUGGAGAUUUUCCUCCUGGAGGUGUUUCCCCGUGCCAUGACUUCCCUGUCAGCACUCCAUCUGAAUGUCUCUGGACUCACUUUGGCCUGAGAGAAACCUGCCUGUUUGCAGGGCACUGACUGGGCAACUGUUCUUUUUGCAGGUGCAAAAGGGCAGAUAAAGAAAAAACAGAUGGGUCCAGCAGAAGUGAUGCUGCUUCUGCCAAAGGCAGAGCAGAGGCCGAAAGCACUUUAGGAAGUUGCUUGCAGAAGCACUGUGCAUUCCAAGUUACAGCUCAGGAGUCUCAGUGACGUGUCCAACAUGAGAGCUCCUUUUCCAUUUCUCAACCCCCAGAUUCCUCAGGAGUAGGAAACUGAAAACACUGACUCAGAAAAGCUCCUUUCCUUCCUAAUAAUUGUGCUUUGUCCUUCCCCUUUGACAGUGCUCUUGGAAAUGUGCUGGUGUGAUCUGGAUCUGUAAGCAGCCCUGACCUCACACAGCACUCAUCCAACAGCAGGAAGACCCUGCCUGGCCCCUGCUGGGGUUCUUGCGACCCACCGACAGCUUCUCCCUGCAGAGGUGUGGGCAACUACCCAGGCAGGAUUAGACCUGACCCUGGCAGGCAGCAAAGUCCCUGCCCUGGCACGAAGAACCCUGGGGCACAGGGACUCUGCUCUGCAGGACAGCCCUGGGCACCCCUGGCUGCACCCCCACCUUCCCACCCCGCAGCCAUCUCUGGGAGAAGGAGCCCACCUGCACUGUCCCUCUGACGGUGCUGCAGGGAAGGCCUGCCCUGGAGAACAUCCUCCUCCUGUGCCACAGAGAAACUGGGAGAGUCCGGACAGAUGCGCAAGGCUGUGGGAUGUGGUAGCUUUAGGAGAUUCCUCCAGGAACACAAGCGACAUUGCCCUGCACCUGUAGAUUCACUCUGCAGAGGAGUGUGAAGUUGUGUCCCCAAGGGAAGUCUCAGCUAAACACCUCCCAUCUUUCCGCUGCCUUUAACCUCCCUCUGCCUUGCUUCUCUUCUCUCAUGGCUACAGGCAGUGCCCUCGGCCCUGCUGGGCUGUGCAGAGGAGCUGCUCCUGGGCAGAGCUGUCUCUCUGCAGUGCCGCCCACUUGCCAGGAGCUCCCUGUGUGCCAGGAGCCUGGCCCAGCUGAGCAGCACAGCAAGAGCCAAAGGCAGCCCUUUCUCUGCCCCUCUGGGUUCCCUGCAGGUGUGCCUGGGGCUUCAGGGGAACCUGCUGUGGAGCAGGCUGAAGGAAACAAUGAUGUUCCCUCUUCUCACCUCUUCAGUGACACUUCUUUCCAGCAGUGACAUUUCUCCUCUUAGAAAAUUAACAGGUGACACGUGGGGCAUCAUGGAACCAAACGAACCCUGAGACAUUUCAGAAUCCCACGUGUGUUGGGUCUUUCUGAGCUGGAGUUCAUUUUCUCACUGCAGCCGUCACAGUGCUGUGCUUGGUAUUGGGAGCUACAAAGAGGUUAAUCACACUAUGAUUUUGGGGUCAAAUAGCAUCUUGGAUUUUAUUCGUGGAGCAAGACUGCCAUCUAGUGUCCGUUUCUUCUGGGGGGGGCAGUCAUUUCCGCAGAGUGGCCUCGUAUCUUUGGCAACUGCUGAGCAGGGCUGGCACAGCAUCCGCACUGUCAGCUUCCUCCCUUGAAUCGGGGGUAAGAUCAUGGAAGGGGAUACAGACAGACCAGUUGAGCCAAAUUGACCAAAGGGAUAUUCCAGAAUAUAUGGCAGCAGAUCAGCUACAAAAGCUCAGGAAAGGAACAGGAAAGGGGGGAAAUCCAUUUUUUCACAAUACUUGCCUUCUGAGUGGCCUCGCUGUGUGGUGAAGCCCUGCUUCCCGUGAAGUGGCCAGGCAUUGCUGCUGACGGGAAGAAGAGAAUAAAUCUUUUUAUUUUUCUCUUCA